GCCGGUCCUCGGUAGUGGCCCCCGGGGGAAAGAGCCCGGGUGCUUCGAUCGAAGACCGGC
rfam:Actinobacteria bacterium OK074 ctg74, whole genome shotgun sequence.